GGUGUGCAGGCCCCCUGCACUGAUCCUGAGUGGCCACCUAGACCAGGGUGUCCAGAGGCUCGACUAUAGGGUUCCUUCUUCUCCACCAUGGCACUUCAGGCUCCCUUGGCACUUCUCUUUUGGGAAAAUAAAUUGCUUCUGGAUUAGACAUCUUUCUGUUGCUGUUGCUUGAGACAGGGUCUCACUCUGUCACCCAGGCUGGAGUGCAAUGGCACAAUCAUGAUUCACUGCAGCCUCGACUUACUGGACUCAAGUGAUCUUCCCGCCGCAGCCCCCGAGGUAGCUGGGACUACAGGGUCUUACUCUGUCACCCAGGCUGGAGUGCAGUGGCAUAAUCUUGGCUCACUGCAGCCCCAACAUCCCCGGCUCAAGCAAUCCUCCCGCCUCAGCCUCCUAAGUAGCUGGGACCACAGAAACCCAAACUGCAGAACAUGUUCAGUGAAGCAACCAGAGCUAAAUCAUUUGAAAUGCAUUAGCCAGUACUCGCCGCAAAUUAAUUUAACACCAGUCACAUGUGUCUGGGUGAUUUUCCCCUGAAAGGUGGCGUGAGUUGAUUGGACCCCAGGAGGAACGCUGCGCUGAAUGGCUCAAGAUUUACUACUAACCACACACUGCACAGAGAAGGCUGCGUGUUACCAAGGCCUCCAUGGAAUUAGGGGGAACUGCCAACAAACCAGUGCAGAGCCUGCAAAUGUCAGAUAGAAGG